GAGUGCGUCGAGGCCCCGCGUUGGGCCUCCAAAUACAAUACAAUAACGCCGAUCUCGAUCCGGCGAGGAAACGACUUGUUAAAGACACGCAAUUAUGCAUGAGGCCUAAUUGUUAAACACAAUCAUUAGGCCCUGGUGACAAGGGACAGGCUUGCACGGGCAGCACCAGCACCAGCACCAGCAGGGAUGGACAUGAUGAGUGCUGCUACUCGGCUUUGUCUGCAGCUGUUGCUGCCACACCGGUCAUCUCCGAAUCUGACGGCCACGGGCCUCGUCUCUGACAGAUCGCCGAGUUUCGUUCUUCACCGCAGUGGGCAGACGGAGCCAGCAGGCGCAACAGUAACCGUUCAAUUAGUUCAGAGAAUCUGAGAAGUGGCCGAUGGAAGGAACGUGUGCGUGCUUGAGUCACUGCUGGAGUGCUGGUGUUCCAACUCUUGGUUAGUCAAUGAUGCCGGGUUUAUUUUUAAGCGAGGUCGCAAAGCUUGGCUCUGUUGACCAGAGGCACGUCUUGGUCAGAUCCAAGUGAGUCGCAAACCUUCCAAUAAUGGACCCCAACUGGUGUGCAACAGCAGAGAUGAUUGCCUAAACCAGCGCCUAAUUAGACCAGAAAUGCCUCACGAUCAAGCAUUAUACUCCAUAGUGAUCGAAUCUCCAUGGUCAAGAUGCUCCGCUCGAGUUAGCU
rnacentral:lncRNA from 1 species